GCAUGCUUAGCGAAGAAGAAAACAGAAUAUCUCAAAAAAUGGCACAAAUCAUCAGAGGAUUAAAGGAAGAUUUUUCUUUGUGCAAGGGUGUUCGACCUCUUCGAGUUUGUCGUUGUUGAAUUUUUCUUCUUUUUUUUGUUUU
rnacentral:ribozyme from 1 species